CACGGGUGCGUAACGCGUAUGCAAUCUACCCUUUACUGGGGAAUAGCCCGGAGAAAUUCGGAUUAAUGCCCCAUAUGCCCACGGAAUCGCAUGGUUCAGUGGGGAAAGUUCCGACGGUAAAGGAUGAGCAUGCGUCCCAUUAGCUAGUUGGUGAGGUAACGGCUCACCAAGGCGACGAUGGGUAGGGGGCCUGAGAGGGUGAUCCCCCACACUGGUACUGAGACACGGACCAGACUCCUACGGGAGGCAGCAGUGAGGAAUAUUGGGCAAUGGAGGCAACUCUGACCCAGCCAUGCCGCGUGCAGGAAGACGGCCCUCUGGGUUGUAAUCUGCUUUUGUUUGGGAAUAAACCCUUCUACGUGUAGGAGGCUGAAGGUACCUUACGAAUAAGCAUCGGCUAACUCCGUGCCAGCAGCCGCGGUAAUACGGAGGAUGCACGCGUUAUCCGGAUUUAUUGGGUUUAAAGGGUCCGUAGGCGGAUCUUUAAGUCAGUGGUGAAAGCCCACAGCUCAACUGUGGAACUGCCAUUGAUACUGGAGAUCUUGAGUGUAGUAGAAGUAGGCGGAAUAGGGCAUGUAGCGGUGAAAUGCAUAGAUAUGCCCUAGAACACCGAUUGCGAAGGCAGCUUACUAUGUUACAACUGACGCUGAGGGACGAAAGCGUGGGGAGCAAACAGGAUUAGAUACCCUGGUAGUCCACGCUGUAAACGAUGAUUACUCGCUGUUGGCGACAUACAGUCAGCGGCCAAGCGAAAGCAUUAAGUAAUCCACCUGGGGAGUACGCCGGCAACGGUGAAACUC
rnacentral:rRNA from 1 species